UCGUGACCCUUAAACAAAACAGACCGCGAACGCGUCUCCCGUGUCGCUGGGCGCACGCCCGGCACAAGGUCCCCGAGCUCCGUCCCGGGGCGGAGGGGCCACAAAAGAACCCACGGCGCCUUAGGCGUCAAGGAACACUCGUAUUGCCUCGCACGGCGGAGCGGUCGCAUGACUUCCGCUCCCCGGGCAGCGAUGACAUCUUAAUCCACACGACUCUCGGCAACGGAUAUCUCGGCUCUCGCAUCGAUGAAGAACGUAGCAAAAUGCGAUACCUGGUGUGAAUUGCAGAAUCCCGCGAACCAUCGAGUUUUUGAACGCAAGUUGCGCCCGAGGCCUUUUGGUUGAGGGCACGUCUGCCUGGGCGUCACGUCAAAAGACACUCCCAACCCACCCUCGGGGAGGGACGUGGAGUCUGGCCCCCCGUGCCGCGAGGCGCGGUGGGCCGAAGUUUGGGCUGCCGGCGAAUCGCGUCGGGCACAGCACGUGGUGGGCGACAGUUAGUUGUUCUCGGUGCAGCGCCCCGGCGCGUGGCCGGCGCAUCGGCCCUGAGGACCCAUCGCAUAGCCGCUCGUACCACCACCCCAGGUCAGACCGGACUACCCGCUGAAUUUAACCAUAUGAAUAAGCGUAUGAAGAAAACCUUUACAA
rnacentral:rRNA from 1 species